ACGGAAGGCAGCAGUGGGGAAUAUUGGACAAUGGGGGAAACCCUGAUCCAGCGACGCCGCGUGAGUGAAGAAGUAUUUCGGUAUGUAAAGCUCUAUCAGCAAGGAAGAAAAUGACGGUACUUGACUAAGAAGCUCCGGCUAAAUACGUGCCAGCAGCCGCGGUAAUACGUAUGGUGCAAGCGUUAUCCGGAUUUACUGGGUGUAAAGGGAGCGUAGGCGGCAUGGCAAGCCAGAUGUGAAAGCCCGGGGCCCAACCCCGGAACGGCAUUUGGAACUGUCAGGCUAGAGUACCGGAGAGGUAAGCGGAAUUCCUAGUGUAGCGGUGAAAUGCGUAGAUAUUAGGAGGAACACCAGUGGCGAAGGCGGCUUACUGGACGAUAACUGACGUUGAGGCUCGAAAGCGUGGGGAGCAAACAGGAUUAGAUACCCUGGUA
rnacentral:rRNA from 1 species